CCCCUCUCAGGGUCACAUCUGGGGAGUUUCCAGUACCCUACCAGUCUCGGGUUAUGGGAGGGAGAGUCAAGCAGAGACCUAACCAUUCCAUUCCUAGCUUGGGCCGUGGCUAGCGAGUGGAAGGCAAUCUGCUACAAGU